UACAGAGGCCUCAAGCAUUAUCCGGAUUCACUGGGCGUAAAGGGUGCGUAGGUGGUUAUAUUAGUCAGGUGUUAAAUCCUCGGGCUCAACCCGAGAAUCGCAUUUGAAACGGUAUAACUAGAGGAAGUUAGAGGUAAGCAGAACUCUCGGUGUAGGGGUGAAAUCCGUUGAUAUCGAGGGGAAUACCAAAUGCGAAGGCAGCUUACUGGGACUUUCCUGACACUGAGGCACGAAAGCGUGGGUAGCGAACGGG
rnacentral:rRNA from 1 species